rnacentral:rRNA from 1 species
UACGUAGGUGGCAAGCGUUAUCCGGAUUUACUGGGUGUAAAGGGAGCGUAGACGGCAUGGCAAGCCAGAUGUGAAAGCCCGGGGCUCAACCCCGGGACUGCAUUGGAAACUGUCGCGCUCGAGUGUCGGAGAGGUAAGUGGAAUUCCUAGUGUAGCGGUGGAAUGCGUAGAUAUUAGGAGGAACACCAGUGGCGAAGGCGAUUUGCUGGACUGUAACUGACACUGAGGCACGAAAGCGUGGGGAGCAAACAGG